CUCAAACAGAAAUGAUGGAUUUAACCUGAAGACAAAUGGAUGGUUUGUUUCUUACCAAACGCGAGAUAUAUGUGAGGCCUAAUUCAAAUUGGAUUAAGUAAAAAUCACUUUUAUAUUUUGAGAUUACAAGAAAUUGUUGAAAUCCACUAUCCAAAUUUUAAAAUAUAUUUAGGUUCAUCUUUUUGGAAUUAAUUGUCUUUAAUUCAGAUUUGUAAGCAUGAGAUUUAACCUGAAGACAAAUUAAUGGAUUUCACUCUCGUGUGCAUUAGAUAUAUGUGAGAUCUAAUCCAAAUCUGAUUUAACAAAAAUCCCUUCUAUAUUUUGAGAUGACAAAAAAUUGUUCAAAUUCAUUACCCAAAAUAUCUUCAGAAAAAGUGUGAUUAACUCCACCGGUGACCCCUUCUCCCACUUUUAGACACUCAACUGACAAACAACAUUCUGUUUGGCAGAAAAGUGAAAAGGAAGUGUAAAGAGUAGAAUUGAAGAAACCAGAAGAAUAUCAUACACAGAAACAUGACAUUCAAUGGGGUAUUGGUGGUGUCAGUGGCAAAAGUUUCAGCAGAGAUUUGGCAGCUGUUGGCAUGUUUGCCAGAACCAAUAAGCAGUCAGGAACUGUUGGAUCUUGUCAUAUGUUUUCCUCUUCAACAGAUUGGUCGCUUAGCUCUCUAUGUCUGCACUUUUAUCUGUUUUCCUCAUAAUCAUUAUUCCUACCAAAGUUAUACUCACACUACUAUUACUACCACUUCAUCAUCACAUAAUCAAGAUUCUGACGAUUCUUCUGUUUCUUCUUCAUUGUCUUCACGUUUGGGACAGAGUUGGGUUGAUUAUGACUUGAUAAUCUGAUCUCCCUGUAAAGUGACUUCUUUAAGCAUAUGGUUGCAAGUACUUAGCCAUCUACAGGAAUUUUAGUUUCCCUGAAUGCAAAUUGUCAACUUGAGUUGAUUCUUUUCCCCUUUCCCCCUCAAGACAUGGUUGAUUCGGUUAUUGUUCAUUAGAAAUGGUUUUGGUGAAAUCACUUCUGUUUCGAUAGCAACUGAUGUCUUAUGUUAAGGUGGCUGAUAUUGGAUACUUGGAUGGUGAUACUUUUUGAAUCAUGGGUUUCUAAGAUGUUAUUGAGCUUUCCUUCUUAUUUCUACUACAAGUCUGCACAUCUUUUUGGUUCUUGAGCUAGAGUUGAAGACUUGAAGGUGUUUUUUCGGAUCCUUGUACAGUCAUAAAGAAAGAGUAAACCAUCAGCAAUAGUUUUAUGGUAAAUUUUGCAAAUCAUGGUAGCUGCUCCCUAGCUUUUGGGCGACUCCAAGAAUCAAAGAACUUGUGUGAUCAUCUGUUGGAUAAAUGGUCUUCAUUUGCAUAACUUCCCUUUUAUGAUUUGACACUUCUUAAUAUUUGGUGCUAGUGUUUUUCUCAAUC